rnacentral:rRNA from 1 species
UACGGGGGGGGCAAGCGUUGUUCGGAAUUACUGGGCGUAAAGGGCUCGUAGGUGGCCAACUAAGUCAGACGUGAAAUCCCUCGGCUUAACCGGGGAACGGCGUCUGAUACUGGAUGGCUUGAGUUCGGGAGAGGGAUGCGGAAUUCCAGGUGUAGCGGUGAAAUGCGUAGAUAUCUGGAGGAAUACCGGUGGCGAAGGCGGCAUCCUGGACCAUAACUGACGCUGAGGCGCGAAAGCUAGGGGAGCAAACGGG